UGUCUCCCUCUGUUAUGAGUACAACAAAAAUAAUUCUGAAGGAACCACAGAUUAUGAAAGUUCGAGAUCUGUGAUCUAUCAAAAAACUAGUAGAACUAGCAUUUCAUAACAUUCGCUCCGUAUUGGAAGAGAAGAUUGAAGUUUUUGUUAGAGCAAAAAAGCUGAAUUUGUGGUGGAUCAACAAUGGAUUCCCCGCGAGUAGGACCGGAGAGAGAAAAGGGGUAGUCAACAACGUCUUCUACUCCUCUUGCUGCUGUCGCCAGCUUCUGGAAAGACUUUGAUUUGGAGAAAGAAAGGAGUACACUGGAUGAACAAGGUCUUAGGAUAGCUGAAAAUCAGGAGAACAGUCAGAAGAACCGACGAAAACUUGCAGAGAGCACUCGAGAUUUUAGAAAAGCUUCAAAUGAAGACAAGUUCAGCUUGUUCAACUCUUUGCUCAAGGGAUACCAAGAAGAGGUUGACAAUCUCACCAAGAGAGCCAAGUACGGGGAAAAUGCUUUUCUUAACAUUUACCAGAAAUUAUAUGAGGCCCCAGAUCCUUAUCCGGUCAUUGCUUCAAUUGCUUUGUAGGUAAGUCUUAAUUUUAAUCCGAAAAGGAAUUUAGAAUGUCUGAAAGUAGUAACUUGUCCAAGUGGAGCUGUCAUUGCAGUGAAAUUGCCCACUUUCACUUCAACAACAAUCCUUAAUCCAGGAAGAAGAUUCUAUAAGUGUCCUAAACGUGAUUUCGGACAGGUUGAUUCUUGUGGGUAUUGGGAGUGGCACGACGAAGUACUCCCGGAUAGAGCGUUGGUGGUAAUAAGCAAUAUUAAGGCUCAGUUGGACGUGGCUACAGUUAAAGUCAGUAAUUUGAGUUCGGCAUUGGAUGCUGUUAAGAUUGAAAGAGUCAACUUAAAGGAAAAGGUGAAUAUUAUGGAGGCUAUAAACAAUUAUCAAGUGAUCAAGUCAAGAGACUUAGAAGAGAAAUUGAGGAAGAUGAAGAUGUGUUUUCUGGCUUCUUGUGCAUUGUUUGUUGGAUUUGUGGCCGCAUUGUUGAUGAAGUAACGUAGUUAGUUUGUAUCAAGUCUGAAGUCUUAGUACUGUUGCUUGAUUGAAUUUUCUUUCUCUUGUUAAUGUAGUUUGUCUUGCAUAUUAGGUUGUAUUAUGUUAUUUGUAAUGAAAUUGUAAGUUAGUCUACUGAUUUCAUCUCUU